CCUACGGGUGGCUGCAGUGGGGAAUAUUGCACAAUGGAGGCAACCCUGAUGCAGCAACGCCGCGUGAAGGAAGACGGUUCUCGGAUUGUAAACUUCUAUCAAUAGGGAAGAAAGCAAUGACGGUACCUAAAUAAGAAGCCCCGGCUAACUACGUGCCAGCAGCCGCGGGAAUACGUCGGGGGCAAGCGUUAUUCGGAAUUACUGGGUGUAAAGGGAGAGUAGGCGGCAAGGUAAGCGAUAGGUGAAAGCCUUAAGCUUAACUUAAGGAUGGCAUAACGAACUAUCUAGCUAGAGUACAGGGGAGGAAAGCGGAAUGUCUGGUGUAGCGGUGAAAUGCGUAGAUAUUAGGAAGAACACCAGUGGCGAAGGCAGCUUUCUGGACUGAAACUGACGCUGAGGCUCGAAAGCGUGGGGAGCGAACAGGAUUAGAUACCCUGGUAGUC
rnacentral:rRNA from 1 species